CGAAAAGCUAUGACACUAUCGCGUGUCCGAAAAAACUGUGACCAGAAUUACAAAAGAAGGUAAGCAGCAGCGAGUACUUAAAAAAAAUUGUCACACCAGGGAAGAAUCGUCCGCACCCCAAAAAGUUGGACUUGGAUGGGUUUGAUCUGUGCACCAUACGGGAUAAAAUUCACAGUUUUUAUAUUGUGAGGAAGGAGUUACCGACAUUGGGUAAAUUACACGCCGUAUUGAGAGAAGAUAUCCAUUUUCAGGGAAGCAUCACAACAUUGCACAGAAUAAUACAUAAAAUUGGUUUCAAGUAUAAGCGAUGCCAAUCCAAACGGAAACUUC
rnacentral:misc_RNA from 1 species